UAAGAUAUAUUUUUAUAUAUAAAGGAUUUUGAAAAUCUUUUGAAGUAAGUUUUACUUACUAUCUAGU
rnacentral:tRNA from 1 species